rnacentral:rRNA from 1 species
AUACGGAGGGUGCAAGCGUUAAUCGGAAUUACUGGGCGUAAAGCGUACGUAGGCGGUUGGUUAAGUUAGAUGUGAAAGCCCCGGGCUUAACCUGGGAACUGCAUUUAAAACUGGCGAACUAGAGUUGAGUAGAGGGGAGUGGAAUUUCAGGUGUAGCGGUGAAAUGCGUAGAGAUCUGAAGGAACACCAGUGGCGAAGGCGACUCCCUGGACUCGAACUGACGCUGAGGUACGAAAGCGUGGGUAGCAAACGGGAUUAGAAACCCCAGUAGUCC